rnacentral:rRNA from 1 species
UAGGGAAUCUUCCACAAUGGACGAAAGUCUGAUGGAGCAACGCCGCGUGAGUGAUGAAGGGUUUCGGCUCGUAAAACUCUGUUGUUGGAGAAGAACAGGUGAUAGAGUAACUGUUAUCAUCUUGACGGUAUCCAACCAGAAAGCCACGGCUAACUACGUGCCAGCAGCCGCGGUAAUACGUAGGUGGCAAGCGUUGUCCGGAUUUAUUGGGCGUAAAGCGAGCGCAGGCGGUUUUUUAGGUCUGAUGUGAAAGCCUUCGGCUUAACCGGAGAAGGGCAUCGGAAACCGGGAGACUUGAGUGCAGAAGAGGACAGUGGAACUCCAUGUGUAGCGGUGAAAUGCGUAGAUAUAUGGAAGAACACCAGUGGCGAAGGCGGCUGUCUGGUCUGUAACUGACGCUGAGGCUCGAAAGCAUGGGUAGCGAACAGGAUUAGAUACCCUGGUAGUCCAUGCCGUAAAACGAUGAGUGCUAAGUGUUGGAGGGUUUCCGCCCUUCAGUGCUGCAGCUAACGCAUUAAGCACUCCGCCUGGGGGAGUACGACCGCAAGGUUGAAAC